rnacentral:lncRNA from 1 species
UCUCCCUCCCCGAGCCCUUGGUGUCCGAAGCCUGGGUCAGGAGGGAAAGCGGCAACCUCACAUCUUGGCCCGCACAUGCCUUGGGGAAGCCAGUGGACUUCGUCAGCAAUGGCCCCGGCUGCCAGCAUAAUCCGACUGUGGUCCUCAGAGCACCGUCUGCAGCUCGGGUCCUGUCCUGCACUGGAGGGAGAUCGUUUGCAUCAUGAUGCUUGGGGAUGCUCAGUGUUGGUGUCUGUGAGCCAGGUGACAGGGCCAUCUCUGGAGCAGAGAGGCCCCAGGCCCAGAUGGAGCCUUGGGCAGCAAAGGACAGCCCACUGACACGGACCAGCUGAGGCAGGAAAGGGACAAGACACUCGAGAGAGAGUCUCCACAGCAAGUACUGGGUUGAGGGACCCAGCAAGGCCGUGCCGGGCCAAGAUGCUGGACGAGUGAAUUGCCUGUGAGGAGCCACGCCUGGCAAAGACGGAAAAGGAAAAGGCUGUUAUCGACGGAGCAGGAGGGGUCCAGGCUGGAGGCUGGAGGGAAGUCACCACGGGCCCGGACGGUCAAGAUGGCUUCCUCCUUCCAUCUGGCCUUCUCUGCUCCACCUCUCCAAGGUGGGACAUGCUGUGUCAGCCCUGUGUGCUCCCAGGCCCCGCACCAGCAGCCCAGUCCCUGCUCCAGACUCACGGGAGGAUCUGAUUGGCUCGGCCCCUCCCUGGCGUGUGAUCUCCAGUGUGCAGUCAGCUGGGACCAGGGGGCACGUCCCUGCAUCCUGGGCUUUCCCAGGUCCCAUCUCUGCUUUGGCACUGUUCCCAGACAACGUGUGGAGCAGACACCCUAGGAGGGGGCUGCUGCCGGUGCUUGUGGUUGAUGGAACUCUCGAAUGCGGUGUUUCCCCAGCUGAGCCAGGCAGCUUCCCCUUCUGCAUUCUCCACGCCUGCGCACUGACUGCGCCCGUGGAGGAGGGCCCUGCUCCCUGGAUCUCCCCCUGCCAGGGCUGCAGGAGACUCCCCGGAGGUGUGUGGUCGGGGUGGGCUGUGGGAACCCUGAGGCACCCGGCUGAGCUGCGGGCGUCAAGCCUCUGUCUUCCCGGGUUUGCUUCUCCCUCUUUUCCAGUCUAGUUGGAACAUUAGCUGAGUGUCUGCUGUGUGCAACAAGCUCAGGAAAGAGGAUCGGGUGGGACAGAUCAGUGGAGGGGGCAGGUCCCAGCGACGCAGGCAGGGCCGGGCCCACCGCCUCAGUCCCUCCUCCUGGCCUGUGAGGUAGCCCCCCAGGCUGCUUUGCCCCAUACUCCGGGGUGUGGGAAGUUUCCGCGUCAUGGCCCCCCGCAGGACGGCUUCCCUCCCCCUCUCCCUUGCCCCCCAGGGCUUUGUAAGAGUCGCGUGGGACAGUGUGCAUGAAAGCUCUAAUUAAGAGUAAAGGAUUACAUGAGUGUAUUUUUCAGUCAAAACCAUAAAAGAAACCUUCCCUAAGGUUGGCCCAAGUGCUCCUGCUGAUGUGGGAGGAAGCUGGGUCUGGGGGCUGCAUCCUCCUCCCUGGCACGGAGUGUGUGCGAGCUUUUGGGGUGCUGAGGAAGGUGGGCCUUGAGGACCGGGCUGAGAGAGCUGGCUUUGAUCCUGUUGGCAGUGCUGUGUUGACAACAGUCUUCUGGGAGGGGACCAGCCCACGCAGAGCUGGGGUCCCACGUCCUUUCUCGGGGCUCUGAGUCAGUUCUCAGGACACCGUGUGGCGGCUCCCAGUGGGCGUGCCGGUUGUGCAUCCGAGUGUGCCACGGGGCAUAUGCUGCUCUCACGGCCCCUCUCCCCUCCACGGGCCGCAGUCCUGGACACGCUGGGAGAGCUUCUCCUGGCAGCAGGGCGGGGGGCUG